GUCCCUAAUACUUGGCUUUCCCAAGCUGAGUGCCCCGCAGUUUUCAUUAAAUUCUUUUUUUCUCUCCUGUAUUCUUUUCUCUCUGUGAUUACAACUUCUUUGCCCGUAUUUCUCCUGGAGCCCUCUACAUCGGCUCCAAAGCCCUGCCUCGGAGGUAAAUCCUUAGCCCUGAUGAGUAGGCAGCAAGCCCCUCUUGCACACAACAAAGACUUCUAUUUUUUUUUUUUCUAUCUUUUGGGCGACACGAUAAAAAAUAACCCUGUAUUUAUGCAAAUUGCAAAGUAGCGUGUGAUAAUGAAAACAAAACAGUGCUGGCCCGCAGCCAAGACAUGGCGCUGACGGGGGCUCCCGACCAUUUGGCUCUUGAUUCUUCGGGGAAAGCAGCUGUAGAGAAAUGAGAAGACAGCACGCCCUCCUCACACGCGCACGCCCUCGUCCAUCCGCACGCAUUCCGGUACCGUCACCUUGGAGCCAGCAAAACUUGGGGAUCCAAAAGAGGUUCUGCUUCCUUCCGCGGCGGAGCACACUGCAGCGUCGUCCCCCACGAGCCUCCCUGCCCCCUGCUCCUGAUUCCCUUUCAGGAAUUUACAAACAUUUUCCCCAGAUCAAUAUCCGUAUUGAUUAUUCAUUGUGAGUGAGUCGUGUGUCUUUGGUGAUCCAGCUCGCAGAGGUAGCAGCCCAAGGCUGCUGCAGGGGAAGAAAACUAACAGAAGGCGAGAGGGACCCAGCUCUGGCUGGGUCUGCGGCUGUCGGCAACAGAGAGAGGAAGAGGAACAGAGAAGAGCGCUUCCAGACGAAGGCAUGGUCAAGGGUGGAAGAGAAAGAGGGAGCAACAGCAAGAAAAAAGAAGCGAGGGCUGGCUGGACAUCUGGUUCCCGAAACCUCAUCUUGGUGGCUUGGAGGGAACCCCCAUCUUGGCUCUGCUGUUACGUGCAAAAUGCAGUGGACGUCCUCUGCUCUGGGAUUGAAAAGUGACUCACAGUUUUGGUAUCUCCUACGUAAGAGCUUUGGGGGGAUCCCUUGGCUUGCUGACAGGCAAGGAGGAACGCAGCAGCAGUGAGGUAAAGCACGAUUCCUUCCAACUGCCUUGCGGAGGGUGUGCAGUCGUUCGGUUUGACUUGAACAGCUUGCUGCUCUCUGAUGGCACGCGGAGGGAGAAUAAUUAAAAAGGCCAGCAUCACUUACUAAAUGUGUCUUGACAAGGGCUGCUGCAAGAUGAACAAAUAGGCCCGACUCUGAAUUAUGAGAGGACUCCUCUGAUAUGAGCCGCGAGGCUCUGAGAACUUUCCACUCAUUUGGUGUUUAGUAAUUCUCUUCAGACAAGACAAUGAAAACCAAACAAGCCUUCAUGUCAAAUGAACGGGAAACCAGGGAAGC
ensembl:lncRNA